UCAUCUGUGAAGGCAGUCUGAAAUUAGCGGGUGAAACUCCUUACACAGGGUAAAUAUAAACCAUAUGGGGUGCCCAUGCUGUUUGUUGCUCUUCUUGAAGGCAGACUGUGUGAAGACAGACUGAGGAAUGUCUCUUUUAAGGCUUUAUGUGACUCUAAACGGAGGGCUGAACCUUCAAGCAGAGGAGUCUGAGUCAUCAACUGACACCUCUAAUCAAGUCUGACCUAAUCAACCACGGACGGCUGUGGAGGUCUAGUGCUCAACCAGCGGACAGAGAUCCAGGAUUCUCACUGGGUCGCAACCACAGGAGAACCAGUUCCAGUUCUGAGAAUCCACACUUGAGAUCCCGUAGGGCUUCCAGCGGCACACUGUCCACGUCUGAGAUGUAUUCAAGAGCUCAUCUUUGUUGCAGCUACUCUCAUGGAACUCUUCUCACUGAGAACUGAACAGGAACAAACUAUUUCCUGGUUUGUCUCAGGUGAGUCAGGUGAGGGGUGGAGCUUUGUCAGACCAUCUCUGCUAAAUGCUGUCGCUUCACCUGUAAGACAGGUUGUGUUUCAUUCCAAAGUCUUAAUUAAUUGCUGGAUAUGUGGACUGAUGGUGUGCAGCAGGCUGUUACAACAGCUGAUUAUGUUCAAAAGUAGUUUGAUCUCAGUGGAGGAGUUCAAAUAUAACUUAGUAAAAUCCUGGGAAUAUUCUGAGAAUGAGGGACAUGGAAUAUCGAAGGAAACGGGUAAUGUGGACAUUGUUGGAGAGGGGUAGUAUGUACCAUAAGGAGUGUCAAUGAAUGGUCGCAUGGAAUAAUUUAUGUACGGGGUACCAUGGAAUAUUGCAGCAAAGGGAAACAUUGGAAUAUCAUGAGAAAAGGGGUACCAUGAUAUGGUGUAGGUAGUAUUAUUAUAUGAAAUGGGUGCCCAGAAAUAUUAUAAGUAGAGUGUACCACAGAACAUUUUAGGUAAGGGGUACCAUGGAAUAGGCAGCAGUGAAUGCUGUAUGUAAGGAAUACAGUAGGAAAUGGGGACCAUGCAUUAUUGUCAGUAAGGGGUACCAUGUAAUACUGUAGGUAAGUGAUACAACGGAAUGGGUACCAUGUAUAAAAGAGUAUCAGGUAAUAUUCUUGUUUUAUUGAUCAAUUUUAAAUUGCUGUUUGUUUUCAUUGUUGUUGUUUUUGUGUGGAGCCCAGGAAGACUAGCGACCAACACGUCAUCAUACCUAAACGACAGAAUAGGUCGACUGCCAAUAACUCCUAAAACGACAUAUAUGACCGGUGGAAAGUACCAGUGACAGGCGCACCGGACCUUAAGUAAGUUACGUAAGUCACAUGACGUUAAACACGUGAUAAAUGUUGUGAAACUCUCCCUCUCCAUCUGUAUGCCUUUUUAUCCCAUUACUGCAUGUUACUAACUCGACGUCUUCUCUCUCCCAUAGUUCUGUGCUUUCUCGUUUCUCUCCUCUCUCCUUCUGUCGC